CAGCUCUAACUGAUGAUUGCCAAUGCAGAUAAAGCACUGGCAGAGUUUUCCAGCUUCUCAACAGAAGCAGAAGUCCAAGUGAUGAGGUUUAAGCUGCAAAGACGUAUUACAUAAGAACAAGGGAAGCUGCUUUAUGGCACGCUGGUGAAGGAUCCUGCUGAUUCCUCCUGAGCGGCUCUCGACUUCCUUUAUGGCAUCAAAGGCCCCAGAAACUGUUAGUGAAGAUGACGUGGAGGAGGGGAUAAUUUUUCUGUUUCCUGAGGUGCCGUUUCUCCUUGUAUGCUUGCUGCUCCUUCCUGCAUCUUCGAGGUCAACCACAGAACAUCUUCAAGUCUCUGCUUCCAUCAUCACAUUGCCUUCUGUCCCUCUGUUCUUCUGGCCACCCUCUUAGGAGGACACCUGUGACACAUCAUAUCUACCCAGAUAAUCCUGGAGACCCUCUCCACCUCAAGAUCCUCUAUGUAGUCCCAUCUGCAGAAUACCUUUUGCCAUAUAAGGUAACAUAUCCACAGAUUCCAAGGAUUAGGACGUGAACGUCUCUCUUUGGGAGACAUUGUUCAGCCUACCACACUACAGAUAUCCUAUGAAGUAGUUACAUAAAGCCCAUUUUUAAGUGAAGAAACCGAUAUUCAGAGGGUUUCUUAACUUGCUUCUGUCAGACACUGUUUUAUUCAAGUAUCUGACCAACAUUUACUGAGUGUUCUCUUUGUGGCAGACACUAUAAUUAGUAUUAAACAAAGUGCAGGAAAGUCUACUUGGAGGAGCUAAGUGGGCAAAGUAAACAGUUAUUUAAAAAUUUGCAUAGAUACAAACAUAGUGUUGGAUAGGAAAGGAACACAGUAUUGGGAAAGAAAACUAACAGCAAAGGGAGGAGGGAGUUGAGGAGAAGCCUUCCUUGAGGAAGUGGAAUUUGUGCCAAGAACUGAAGAUACAAGGGAGAAGACAAAGCAGCAGGAACAGCGUUUGAUACUGAAGGGACAGCAAGUGCAAAUGCUCUCCAGUGGUACGCUCCGUGCAGCCACCAGAACACCAGUGUGGCUAGAACAGAUGUUGACACUUACGCUGAUGAUGCAAAAGCGACAGCGGGGGGCCACUCGAGCCAGCGGCAGCAGACCCAACAGCUUGCUGGCAGGUCCCUUCCCGCCACAUGCUUGCAAUAAAGAAGGAGGAAAAAAUCAAUUUCAUUUAAGAAUGUCUUCGGUGAAGCAGUAAAAAUGAUUAAUUUUAUUAAAUCUCAACCCUUGAAUACAUGUCCUUUCAAUAUUUUCUGUGAGAAAAUUAUACUUCACAGAGCAAGCGGUUGAGUAGCUGAGUGCCGC
rnacentral:lncRNA from 1 species